UCGCCGCCGGACUCCGCCUUCAUGUCCUUCAGCAGCAUCUGCUCCGUGGAGAGCCCUGUGGAGAGACACACGGAGACGCUGCCGGUCAGUCAGGUCCAGGCUGUAUGACUCUUCAGUCCUGGAUGACCAAGCUAACCUGGCUAUCUGCGCAAGAAAGCUGCCUCUCAGCUGACCAUGGUGUGGUCACUCAGUUUCUGCUACAUCAAAAUAGGAGCUGAGCAGACACAGGGAAAGACUACCACCCAGCUACGGUUGGUGCAAAGGUGCAGGAUUAUCCACCAUCUGCUGUAAGUGACAACACUGUGACACCUGGAGUGGAUCAGACUGCUGUGCACUGGGAGCCUGACUGACAGCACUGCAAAACCUGGAGUGGAUCAGCCUGCU